rnacentral:rRNA from 1 species
AUUGAACGCUGGCGGCAUGCUUUACACAUGCAAGUCGAACGGUAACAGGGAGCUUGCUCCGCUGACGAGUGGCGAACGGGUGAGUAAUGCGUCGGAACGUGCCGAGUAGUGGGGGAUAACGCAUCGAAAGGUGUGCUAAUACCGCAUACGAACUGAGGUUGAAAGUGGGGGACCUUCGGGCCUCACGCUAUUCGAGCGGCCGACGUCUGAUUAGCUAGUUGGUGAGGUAAAGGCUCACCAAGGCGACGAUCAGUAGCGGGUCUGAGAGGAUGAUCCGCCACACUGGGACUGAGACACGGCCCAGACUCCUACGGGAGGCAGCAGUGGGGAAUUUUGGACAAUGGGCGCGAGCCUGAUCCAGCCAUGCCGCGUGUCUGAAGAAGGCCUUCGGGUUGUAAAGGACUUUUGUCCGGGAGCAAAUGCUGGUGGCUAACAUCCACCGGAGCUGAGAGUACCGGAAGAAUAAGCACCGGCCAACUACGUGCCAGCCGCCGCCGUAACAC